GGACUACUGGGGUUUCUAAUCCGGUUCGCUCCCCACGCUCUCGCACCUCAGCGUCAGCGCAUGCCCAGGCGGCUGGUUUCCCCCUGGGUGUUCCUGCCGAUCUCUACGCAUUUCACCACUACACCGGCAAUUCCACCGCCCUCUGCAUGGCUCCAGUCCGGCCGUAUGGGAUGGCGCCUGGCCGUUAAGCGGCCAGAUUUCACACCCCACGCGCCAGACCGCCUGCGUGCGCUUUACGCCCAGUCAAUCCGGACAACGCUUGGCUCCUCUGUCUUACCGCGGCGGCUGGCAC
rnacentral:rRNA from 1 species